GACGAACGCUGGCGGCGUGCCUAAUACAUGCAAGUCGAACGAGAGCGACCGGUGCUUGCACUGGUCAAUCUAGUGGCGAACGGGUGAGUAACACGUGGGUAACCUGCCCAUCAGAGGGGGAUAACAUCCGGAAACGGAUGCUAAAACCGCAUAGGUCUUCGAACCGCAUGGUUUGAAGAGGAAAAGAGGCGCAAGCUUCUGCUGAUGGAUGGACCCGCGGUGCAUUAGCUAGUUGGUGAGGUAACGGCUCACCAAGGCCGUGAUGCAUAGCCGACCUGAGAGGGUGAUCGGCCACAUUGGGACUGAGACACGGCCCAAACUCCUACGGGAGGCAGCAGUAGGGAAUCUUCCGCAAUGGACGCAAGUCUGACGGAGCAACGCCGCGUGAGUGAAGAAGGUUUUCGGAUCGUAAAACUCUGUUGUUAGAGAAGAACAAGUGCUAGAGUAACUGUUAGCGCCUUGACGGUAUCUAACCAGAAAGCCACGGCUAACCACGUG
rnacentral:rRNA from 1 species